rnacentral:rRNA from 1 species
GUCCUUUAGGGUUAAAUUAAAGGUCUGACCUGCCCACUGAAUUAUUUUAAAUGGCCGCAGUAAUUUGACUGUGCAAAGGUAGCAUAAUCAUUAGUUUUUUAAUUAAAAGCUUGUAUGAAAGGUUGGACGAGGUAAAAUCUGUCUCUAUUUAAUUUAAGAUAAAAUUUAACUUUUAAGUUAAAAGGCUUAAAUAUUAUUAAAAGACGAGAAGACCCUAUAGAUCUUUAUAAUUUAUUUUUUAAAUUUAAUUAAGAAUUUUUUAAAUUUUAUUAAUAAAAUUAUUUUAUUGGGGUAAUAUAAAGAUUAAAAUAAUUCUUUUUUUUUAUUAACAUAAAUUUAUGAUUUUAAUGAUCCAAUUUUAUUGAUUAUAAGAUUAAGUUACCUUAGGGAUAACAGCGUAAUUUUUUUGGAGAGUUCUUAUCGAUAAAAAAGUUUGCGACCUCGAUGUUGGAUUAAAGAUUAUUUCAGGUGAAGAAGUUUGAAAUUUUUGGUCUGUUCGACCAUUAAAUCUUUACAUGAUCUGAGUUCAGACCGGUGUAAGCCAGGUCGGUUUCUAUCUUUAAUAAAUUAAAAUAUUUUAGUACGAAAGGACCAAAUAUUUAAUAUAAAAUAUUUAAAUAUUUUGAUUAUUAUUAA